CCAGGCCACAGCACAUGGGAGCAAAGAAUUUUCAGUAACCACCAGAGGUUCUCCCCACUAACAGCGACCAGCGCCCUGCCUUGUUCUGGCACCCCCACUCACCUGCUCCACCAUCCCACUGCAGCAAUGCCCAUCAUGUUCCA